UGGGGAAUUUUGGACGAAUUGGGCGAAAGCCUGAUCCAGCAAUGCCGCGUGUGUGAAGAAGGCCUUCGGGUUGUAAAGCACUUUUGUCCGGAAAGAAAUCCUUGGCUCUAAUACAGUCGGGGGAUGACGGUACCGGAAGAAUAAGCACCGGCUAACUACGUGCCAGCAGCCGCGGUAAUACGUAGGGUGCAAGCGUUAAUCGGAAUUACUGGGCGUAAAGCGUGCGCAGGCGGUUUGCUAAGACCGAUGUGAAAUCCCCGGGCUCAACCUGGGAACUGCAUUGGUGACUGGCAGGGCUAGAGUAUGGCAGAGGGGGGUAGAAUUCCACGUGUAGCAGUGAAAUGCGUAGAGAUGUGGAGGAAUACCGAUGGCGAAGGCAGCCCCCUGGG
rnacentral:rRNA from 1 species